rnacentral:rRNA from 1 species
GACGAGCCACACAAACGUUAUUCGGAAUCACUGGGCUUAAAGGGUGCGUAGGCUGCGCGGAAAGUGGGGUGUGAAAGCCCUCGGCUCAACCGAGGAAUGGCGCUCCAAACUACCGUGCUCGAGGAAGACAGAGGUAAGCGGAACUGAGGGUGGAGCGGUGAAAUGCGUUGAUAUUCUCAGGAACACCGGUGGCGAAAGCGGCUUACUGGGUCUUUUCUGACGCUGAGGCACGAAAGCUAGGGUAGCAAACGGG